GAUGAAGAACGCAGCGAAAUGCGAUAAGUAAUGUGAAUUGCAGAAUUCAGUGAAUCAUCGAAUCUUUGAACGCACCUUGCGCUCCUUGGUAUUCCGAGGAGCAUGCCUGUUUGAGUGUCAUGAAAUUCUCAACCUUUCUGGCUUUUGCUAGUCAGGCUUGGAUUAUGGAAGCUGCAGGCUUUUGAAGUCGGCUCUUCUAAAAUGUAUUAGCAAGAUCAUUGCUGCUCAUCAUUGGUAUGAUAAUUAUCUAUAUCAUUGAGAGUCAGUUUCCUUUAUUGGAAGAUUUUGCUCCUAACGGUCUUUAGCAAGACAACAUUUGACGAUUUUGACCUCAAAUCAGGUAGGACUACCCGCUGAACUUAAGCAUAUCAAUAAGCGGAGGA
rnacentral:misc_RNA from 1 species